rnacentral:rRNA from 1 species
AAUAGCAUACUCAUUUGACGUUAGCUGCAGAGAACGCACCGGCUAACUCCGUGCCAGCAGCCGCGGUAAUACGGAGGGUGCGAGCGUUAAUCGGAAUUACUGGGCGUAAAGCGCAUGCAGGUGGUUGUUAAGUCAGAUGUGAAAGCCCGGGGCUCAACCUCGGAAUUGCAUUUGAAACUGGCAAACUAGAGUACUGUAGAGGGGGUAGAAGUUUCAGGUGUAGCGGUGAAAUGCGUAGAGAUCUGAAGGAAUACCGGUGGCGAAGGCGGCCCCCUGGACAGAUACUGACACUCAGAUGCGAAAGCGUGGGGAGCAAACAGGAUUAGAUACCAUCGGUAG